UACGGAGGGUGCGAGCGUUGUCCGGAAUCACUGGGCGUAAAGGGCGCGUAGGUGGCGCGAGGAGUCUGUGGUGAAAGCCCGAGGCUCAACUUCGGGUCGGCCGCGGAUACUCUCGUGCUGGAGGGUGGUAGAGGCCAAGUGGAAUUCCGGGUGUAGCGGUGGAAUGCGUAGAGAUCCGGAAGAACACCGGUGGCGAAGGCGGUUGGCUGGGCCACACCUGACACUGAGGCGCGACAGCGUGGGGAGCAAACAGG
rnacentral:rRNA from 1 species